GACGAACGCUGGCGGCGUGCUUAACACAUGCAAGUCGAACGGUAAGGCCCUUCGGGGUACACGAGUGGCGAACGGGUGAGUAACACGUGGGUGAUCUGCCCUGCACUUCGGGAUAAGCCUGGGAAACUGGGUCUAAUACCGGAUAGGACCAUUGCCUGCAUGGGUGGUGGUGGAAAGCUUUUGCGGUGUGGGAUGGGCCCGCGGCCUAUCAGCUUGUUGGUGGGGUGAUGGCCUACCAAGGCGACGACGGGUAGCCGGCCUGAGAGGGUGACCGGCCACACUGGGACUGAGAGACGGCCCAGACUCCUACGGGAGGCAGCAGGGGGGAAGAUUGCACAAUGGGCGGAAGCCUGGUGCAGCGACGCCGCGUGAGGGAUGACGGCCUUCGGGUUGUAAACCUCUUUCAGCACCGACGAAGCGCGAGUGACGGUAGGUGCAGAAGAAGGACCGGCCAACUACGUGCCAGCAGCCGCCGUAA
rnacentral:rRNA from 1 species